CCUCCCUCUUCUCUUCUCCCUUCCCUCUCCCUUUUUCCCUCUCUCCGCCUCCCUCUACUCUUCUCCCUUCCCUCUCCUUGCAGCCCCUUCUCUGCCUUCCUUUUAUCCUUUCUCUCCUCCCCUCGCCUCUUCUCCUCUCUCCAACCAUUUCCAGCAACCAAACAGCCACCACACCUCCCUUUUCCUCUAUAAAAAUCCAACCAAACCAGACCCAUUUUAGUCUUCUUCUCCGACCCAAACCGCUGCCAAACAACAAUCAAAUAGCCACUUCUUUUCCCCAUUUUCCGGCAACAAAACAGACCCCAAAACCCUCUUUGUUCUCUCCACAGACAACUUUGUUAUCUUUCCACUUUUUUUCAAUUCUUCACAGUUGAGUAGCGGAGUUGUUGUUGUUGUUUGUUGGCGCCAUGGAUUCUGAAGAAGCAACGUUUUCGCCUCCUGAUGUUUCUUCUUCUCCAGGAACUCAAGCUUGUAAGGCUCUUAGGGAAGAAGGGUAUGAGGUGAUAUUGAUUAAUUCAAAUCCUGCAACUAUUAUGACCGACCCAGAAACGGCGGACAGGACUUGUAUUGAGCUACAACCACCAGAGCUAUGAAGUCCGACAAAAAAAAAAUUCGGUACCCAAAACUUGCUUCCUUGAAGCCAUUCAAAAAAAGCUCGAAUUAUAUUUUUAUUUCUAUUUCAUUAUUAUGUAAAUAUUGACGUUACGCAAACUUUAGGCCUAUAAUUUUUAUUUUAUUUUAUUGUGUAUAUUGCAUGUUUA